UGGACAUUAUAUUAGUCGAGCAAAAGAACCAACAUAGCAUAAUAAUCUAGUUCUCAACAAAAAGAUCACAGGAAACAAAGCCAACGACAUAAACAAGCUCAAACAACAAAUGUCUCACUUUAAAAAAAACGCCAAUAAAGCAGUAGAAACACGAACAAAAUCACCUUAAGCCUUCUCUUUAGAAGCAGUAGCAGCAGCUUGACCCCUGAGACGCCCAGUCCUCCUUGCAGCAAUAAGA
rnacentral:misc_RNA from 1 species